AUUGACCGCUGGCGGCAGGCCUAACACAUGCAAGUCGAACGAGUGGCGGACGGGUGAGUAAUGUCUGGGAAACUGCCCGAUGGAGGGGGAUAACUACUGGAAACGGUAGCUCAUACCGCAUACCCUCGGAUGUGCCCAGAUGGGAUUAGCUAGUCGGUGGGGUAACGGCUCACCUAGGCGACGAUCCCUAGCUGGUCUGAGAGGAGUACCAGCCACACUGGAACUGAGACACUGGCAAGACUCCUACGGGAGGCAGCAUGGGGGAAUAGGGCACAAUGGGCGCAAGCCUGAUGCAGCCAGGCCGCGUGUAUGAAGAAGGCCGUCGGGUUGGAAAGUACUUUCAGCGAGGAGGCGUUACUCGCAGAAGAAGCACCGGCGAACUCCGUGCCAGCAGCCGCGGUAAUAC
rnacentral:rRNA from 1 species